rnacentral:rRNA from 1 species
AGUGAACGCUGGCGGUAGGCCUAACACAUGCAAGUCGAACGGCAGCACAGUAAGAGCUUGCUCUUACGGGUGGCGAGUGGCGGACGGGUGAGGAAUACAUCGUAAUCUACUUUUUCGUGGGGGAUAACGUAGGGAAACUUACGCUAAUACCGCAUACGACCUACGGGUGAAAGCAUGGGAUCUUCUGACCUUGCGCGAUUGAAUGAGCCGAUGUCGGAUUAGCUAGUUGGCGGGGUAAAGGCCCACCAAGGCGACGAUCCGUAGCUGGUCUGAGAGGAUGAUAAGCCACACUGGAAGUGGGACACGGUCAAGAGUCCUACGGGAGGCAGCAGUGGGGAAUAUUGGACAAUGGGCGCAAGCCUGAUCCAGCCAUACCGCGUGGGUGAAGAAGGCCUUCGGGUUGUAAAGCCCUUUUGUUGGGAAAGAAAAGCAGCAGGUUAAUACCCCGCUGUUCUGACGGUACCCAAAGAAUAAGCACCGGCUAACUUCGUG